rnacentral:rRNA from 1 species
UACGUAGGUGGCGAGCGUUGUCCGGAUUUACUGGGCGUAAAGGGCGUGCAGGCGGUUUGUUAAGUGCAGGGUGAAAGCUCCCGGCUCAACUGGGAGAGGUCCUUGCAUACUGGCGAACUCGAGGGAGGCAGAGGAAAGUGGAAUUCCCGGUGUAGUGGUGAUAUGCGUAGAUAUCGGGAGGAACACCUGUGGCGAAGGCAGCUCGCUGGGACGGUACUGACGCUGAGGCGCGAAAGCGUGGGGAGCGAACAGG